rnacentral:misc_RNA from 1 species
UUUUAGAAACAUCAGUGGCCAACGAUCGUCAGGAUUGUUGAGCUGCAUUGGCGGGAUUUCGCCGUCUUCGUUUCUCUUUCUUCGCGGACGAACACGCGCUGGGGCUGCAAGCUUGCAGAAUCCCUGGUCCUUGACUGGAUAUGCGUUAGGGGCUUGUAGCUCAGUUGGUUAGAGCGCGCGCUUGAUAAGCGUGAGGUCGGAAGUUCAAGUCUUCCCAGGCCCACCACACUCAUCGAGUGAGCAUUCGUCUUCUGGUUACGGGGCCAUAGCUCAGCUGGGAGAGCGCGUGCUUUGCAAGCAUGAGGUCGUCGGUUCGAUCCCGUCUGGCUCCACCAGAUGGUUUGAUCAUCGACUGAUCGUGCACCUAAAUCGUCCGCGAAACAUCACUUCGCACUUACUAGUCCGGAUGGACAGUAAGCUGCGUGAUUUCUGACAUCGUAAAGAGGAGAUCGAUCCGAGUUGGAUCGGGCAACAAGCAAUUGUUGCGCGAUACUUCAUUAUCUCCGGAUCAUUUCGGCGCUCGUGCGCCUUUCAAUGUAGCUCACAAGGCUGCGUCUGAGAGGAAUGCGAGUUGUAAAUGAUCCUUUUAGCGAAGCUUGACCGCCUCGCUAUCGGAACGAUCUUACGAAGCAAGCUGGUCUUUCUAAUCAUUGUCCGGCUGCAGAUAGCGUUCAUCGAGGGCGCGUGCCGCAAGGUAAUUCUGCAGACAACAUUCUGCCGAGUGUGUGGACAUUGAUAAUGAGAGCAAUCAAGUGCCUUAAGGGUGUUCGGUGGAUGCCUUGGCGCUGAGAGGCGAUGAAGGACGUGCUACGCUGCGAUAAGCCGUGGGGAGCUGCGAAGAAGCUUUGAUCCAUGGA